rnacentral:rRNA from 1 species
CCCUUAGAUGUUCUGGGCCGCACGCGCGCUACAAUGGUCUUCGCAAACGGAUGCAUUCUCGAAGGAGAAUGCCAAUCUUGGAAUCUAUGCCUUGGUCGGGUCAGUUGCUUGCAAUUUUUCGACUCGAACCAGGAAUUCCUUGUAAUCGUGAUUCAUCACAUCACGAUGAAUACGUCCCUGCCCUUUGUACACACCGCCCGUCGCUCCUACCGAUCGAAGAGUUAGGUGAAUUGUUUUGAUCGAUAAGAUUUGACUAUGGUCAACUCUCGUUGUGAAAUUCUGUGAAUCUGACUGUUUAGAGGAAGGAAAAGUCGUAACA